GUAAGUAUCCCUAUAACUGCUGAAUAUUGAUAUGAGUUGCACUUACAGAAAUUUAAUAGGAUUAUAUAUUAAAGUUAUAAAUUCAAUAAUAACAACAAGGGGUUGAACCUUUUUUAUACAUCUGUAUUGCAGGAGGGAAGGAAAUAAUAGGUCUUAGGAAUGUCUAUCAGCCCGUAAAAAAAUAUUUCUUGUGUUUCUGUCCAUACAAAGAUUUCGAAGUAAGUAACUUUUGAUUAAUUUUCGUCUCAAUCACCACUCCAUAUUUGCAUCUUUAUUCCUCACUAGCUGUCAUUUCUUACUGUUGUUUAUUGCCAGUAAGUUCUGUACUAUUCCUUCUAUACUCUAACAAUCUAUUUUUGUUUUACGUUUUGUUCCUAAUGAUCUCUUUCUCUUAAUGUUACAUUUUAUUACUUCUCGAAUAUUUAUAUUUUUUUGCACCCAUUACAGGUGCUUUUAAGGCCGUAUUUAAGUCAGGGGUCUAGAAUCUUGAUGGAUUUUUUUUCAAAAGUAGGAUAAUUUUAUUCGAUAAAAUGAGAAUUUCCCUUUAUACACGUCGUAUUUGUUAAUAAUGAUAACAGUAUAACAUAUUGUGUUGUUUUAUUGUGAUAACAGUUUCGUCUUUGCGACAGCUGUUUGACAAACAUCGAAUCCGCGAAUUUACGACUGCGAAAAUCGACGUAGACGUGUGCCCCGGAAAAACAAAA